AACGAACGCUGGCGGCAUGCCUAACACAUGCAAGUCGAACGAAGGCUUCGGCCUUAGUGGCGCACGGGUGCGUAACGCGUGGGAAUCUGCCCUUUGGUUCGGAAUAACAGCUGGAAACGGCUGCUAAUACCGGAUGAUGACGAAAGUCCAAAGAUUUAUCGCCAGAGGAUGAGCCCGCGUUGGAUUAGGUAGUUGGUGGGGUAAAGGCCUACCAAGCCGACGAUCCAUAGCUGGUCUGAGAGGAUGAUCAGCCACACUGGGACUGAGACACGGCCCAGACUCCUACGGGAGGCAGCAGUGGGGAAUAUUGGACAAUGGGCGCAAGCCUGAUCCAGCAAUGCCGCGUGAGUGAUGAAGGCCCUAGGGUUGUAAAGCUCUUUUACCCGGGAAGAUAAUGACUGUACCGGGAGAAUAAGCCCCGGCUAACUCCGUGCCAGCAGCCGCGGUAAUACGGAGGGGGCUAGCGUUGUUCGGAAUUACUGGGCGUAAAGCGCACGUAGGCGGCUUUGUAAGUCAGAGGUGAAAGCCUGGAGCUCAACUCCAGAACUGCCUUUGAGACUGCAUCGCUUGAAUCCAGGAGAGGUCAGUGGAAUUCCGAGUGUAGAGGUGAAAUUCGUAGAUAUUCGGAAGAACACCAGUGGCGAAGGCGGCUGACUGGACUGGUAUUGACGCUGAGGUGCGAAAGCGUGGGGAGCAAACAGG
rnacentral:rRNA from 1 species